UAUGGCAUUCUAUUGAGCCGUGUAUGUGUGAGUAUAAGUAUUAUACGGCGAAACUGCGAAUGGCUCAUUAAAAUCAAGUUAUAAUUUAUUUGAUAAUCGAAAGUUACAUGGAUAACCCGUGACAAAUUACAGCUAAUACAUGCAGUCAGACCCCGGUCCAAAGGUCGUAAUUAUUAGUAUUAAACCAAUUCCUUCGGGAGUGUGAUGAAUCAUAGUAAUCGAACGAAUCGCUAAUCUUUGCGAUAAAUCAUUCAAGUUUCUGCCCUAUCAGCUUUGGAUGGUAGUGUAUUGGACUACCAUGGCAGUCACGGGUAACGGAGAAUUAGGGUUCGAUUCCGGAGAGGGAGCCUGAGAAACGGCUACCACAUCUACGGAAGGCAGCAGGCGCGAAAAUUGCCCAAUCCUGACACAGGGAGGCAGUGACAAGAAAUAACAACUCUCGGUUUCCGAGAAGUGUAAUGAGGAUAAUUUACAAACCUUACCGAAAGCAAUUGGAGGGCAAGUCUGGUGCCAGCAGCCGCGGUAAUUCCAGCUCCAAUAGCGUAUAUUAAAGUUGUUGCAGUUAAAAAGCUCGUAGUUGAAAUUCUGAUUGUAUUGGGCCUCAGCACUUGAUGCGUAGGUACCAGCAGUCAUCCGCUUGCAAACAUAUGUUCUUCCUUAAACAGAAGACUAUGUGAGUAAGCAUUUUACCUUGAGAAAAACAGAGUGUUCCAGGCAGGUUUGUCCGGAAUGCAUUAGCAUGGAAUAAUAGAAUAUGACUGAAGUCUAUUUAUUGGUUUGAGACUUUAGUAAUGAUUAAUAGGAACAAUCGGGGGCAUUGGUACUUGUCAGUCAGAGUGCAUCCAGAUACACAGCGUUCCGUG
rnacentral:rRNA from 1 species